CGCAGUGUGGUAACCCCCAGCCCCUCAUCCUGGCCCCAUAGCAGAGCUGCUCCAGUCUCUGACCACCCCAGUCUUGCUGUCUGGGCUAUGAUUCACAGCUUGCUGCUGAUCGUGACCCAGCUUCCUCCUGCCCCGCGCAGCUCCUCUUGCUGUCACUCUGUGCAGUGCCUGUGCCUCCUUUCUGUGCUCCCUGCAGGUGGAGAUGUACCGCUGCUCCCCAGCACCCUGUGCCCCAUUGCAGGGCUGCUUCCUUGGGAGGACCUCCAAAUGGCGGCCAGAAUGGAUGGUGGGAACAAACGAGGGGGAAACGUUGCCUACUGCACGGCAGCCUUGCGGUGACUCACCAGAGCAGAAUUUGGGUGCUGUGUGCCAGCGGG
rnacentral:lncRNA from 1 species